UACGAGGGGUGCAAGCGUUGCUCGGAAUCAUUGGGUUUAAAGGGUCCGUAGGUGGACCGUUAAGUCAGAGGUGAAAUCCUGCAGCUCAACUGUAGAAUUGCCUUUGAUACUGGCGGUCUUGAAUCAUUGUGAAGUGGUUAGAAUAUGUGGUGUAGCGGUGAAAUGCAUAGAUAUCACAUAGAAUACCGAUUGCGAAGGCAGAUCACUAACAAUGCAUUGACACUGAUGGACGAAAGCGUGGGGAGCGAACAGG
rnacentral:rRNA from 1 species